rnacentral:rRNA from 1 species
AGCAACCUGCCCCUGGCUCUGGGACAACCACUGGAAACGGUGGCUAAUACCGGAUACGACUCAUCACCGCAUGGUGUGUGGGUGGAAAGUUUUUCGGCUGGGGAUGGGCUCGCGGCCUAUCAGCUUGUUGGUGGGGUAAUGGCCUACCAAGGCGACGACGGGUAGCCGGCCUGAGAGGGCGACCGGCCACACUGGGACUGAGACACGGCCCAGACUCCUACGGGAGGCAGCAGUGGGGAAUAUUGCACAAUGGGCGAAAGCCUGAUGCAGCGACGCCGCGUGAGGGAUGACGGCCUUCGGGUUGUAAACCUCUUUCAGCUCCGAAGAAGCGAAAGUGACGGUAGGAGCAGAAGAAGCACCGGCUAACUACGUGCCAGCAGCCGCGGUAAUACGUAGGGUGCAAGCGUUGUCCGGAAUUAUUGGGCGUAAAGAGCUCGUAGGCGGUUUGUCGCGUCUGCUGUGAAAACUCAGGGCUCAACUCUGAGCUUGCAGUGGGUACGGGCAGACUUGAGUGCUGUAGGGGAGACUGGAAUUCCUGGUGUAGCGGUGAAAUGCGCAGAUAUCAGGAGGAACACCGGUGGCGAAGGCGGGUCUCUGGGCAGUUACUGACGCUGAGGAGCGAAAGCAUGGGGAGCGAACAGGAUUAGAUACCCUGGUAGUCCAUGCCGUAAACGUUGGGCGCUAGGUGUGGGGUCCAUUCCACGGAUUCCGUGCCGCAGCUAACGCAUUAAGCGCCCCGCCUGGGGAGUA